GUUGAGGUGGCAGAUAAAUGCGUUAGGUUUAAGGCCUAAAGAUGGAUUGAGAGAUUCCCUCAAAA
rnacentral:tRNA from 1 species